rnacentral:rRNA from 2 species
UUUUGACGAGCGCAUCUAUUAGAUUAAAACCAAUCGGGUUUCGGCCCGUCAAUUGGUGACUCUGAAUAACUAUGGCUGAUCGCAUGGUCUUGAACCGGCGACGUGUCUAUCAAGUGUCUGCCUUAUCAACUGUCGAUGGUAGUUUAUGUGCCUACCAUGGUUGUAACGGGUAACGGAGAAUAAGGGUUCGACUCCGGAGAGGGAGCCUGAGAAACGGCUACCACAUCCAAGGAAGGCAGCAGGCGCGCAAAUUACCCACUCUCGGCAUGAGGAGGUAGUGACGAAAAAUAACGAGACCGUUCUCUCUGAGGCCGGUUAUCGGAAUGGGUACAAUUUAAACCCGUUAACGAGGAUCUAUGAGAGGGCAAGUCUGGUGCCAGCAGCCGCGGUAAUUCCAGCUCUCAAAGUGUAUAUCGUCAUUGCUGCGGUUAAAAAGCUCGUAGUUGGAUCUGCGCCUCAGGACUUGGUCCGCCCACUGGGCGAGAACUGGGCUCCUGGGCUAGUACUGCUGGUUUUCCCUACGUUGCCUUCAUCGGUCGCGUAGGGUGGCUAGCGAGUUUACUUUGAAAAAAUUAGAGUGCUUCACGCGGGCUUAUGUCUGAAUACUCGUGCAUGGAAUAAUAGAAUAGGAUCUCGGUUCUAUUUUGUUGGUUUUCUGAUCUGAGAUAAUGGUUAAGAGGGACGGACGGGGGCAUUCGUAUCGCUGCGUGAGAGGUGAAAUUCUUGGACCGUAGCGAGACGUCCGACUGCGAAAGCAUUUGCCAAGAAUGUCUUCAUUAAUCAAGAACGAAAGUCAGA